UACGUAGGGGGCAAGCGUUGUCCGGAAUCAUUGGGCGUAAAGCGCGCGUAGGCGGCUCGGUCAGUCUGCUGUGAAAGUCAAAGGCUCAACCUUUGAAUGCCGGUGGAUACUGUCGGGCUAGGGUCCGGAAGAGGCGAGUGGAAUUCCUGGUGUAGCGGUGGAAUGCGCAGAUAUCAGGAGGAACACCAACGGCGAAGGCAGCUCGCUGGGACGGUACUGACGCUAAGGCGCGAAAGCGUGGGGAGCGAACAGG
rnacentral:rRNA from 1 species